rnacentral:rRNA from 1 species
GAUGAACGCUGGCGGCGUGCCUAAUACAUGCAAGUCGAGCGAACAGACGAGGAGCUUGCUCCUUUGACGUUAGCGGCGGACGGGUGAGUAACACGUGGGUAACCUACCUAUAAGACUGGGAUAACUUCGGGAAACCGGAGCUAAUACCGGCUAAUAUUUCGAACCGCAUGGUUCGAUAGUGAAAGAUGGCUCUGCUAUCACUUAUAGAUGGACCUGCGCCGUAUUAGCUAGUUGGUAAGGUAACGGCUUACCAAGGCAACGAUACGUAGCCGACCUGAGAGGGUGAUCGGCCACACUGGAACUGAGACACGGUCCAGACUCCUACGGGAGGCAGCAGUAGGGAAUCUUCCGCAAUGGGCGAAAGCCUGACGGAGCAACGCCGCGUGAGUGAUGAAGGUCUUCGGAUCGUAAAACUCUGUUAUUAGGGAAGAACAAACGUGUAAGUAACUGUGCACGUCUUGACGGUACCUAAUCAGAAAGCCACGGCUAACUACGUG